GACGAACGCUGGCGGCGUGCUUAACACAUGCAAGUCGAACGGAAAGGCCCUGCCUUGGUGGGGUGCUCGAGUGGCGAACGGGUGAGUAACACGUGAGUAACCUGCCCUUCACUUUGGGAUAACUUCAGGAAACUGGGGCUAAUACCGGAUAGGAGCUCCCGCUGCAUGGUGGGGGUUGGAAAGUUUCGGCGGUUGGGGAUGGACUCGCGGCUUAUCAGCUUGUUGGUGGGGUAGUGGCUUACCAAGGCUUUGACGGGUAGCCGGCCUGAGAGGGUGACGGGCCCCAUGGGGCCUGGGAUACGGCCCAGCCCCCACCGGGAGGCAGCGGUGGGAAGUAUUGCACAAGGGGCGGAAGCCUAUUCCGCCACCGCCCGGUGGGGGAUGCCGGCCUUCGGUUUGUAAACCGCUUCCGCCUGUGCCGAAGUGUUAGUGACGGUACCGGGAUAAGAAGCACCGGCUAACUACGUG
rnacentral:rRNA from 1 species